CCUACGGGAGGCUGCAGUGGGGAAUAUUGCACAAUGGGGGAAACCCUGAUGCAGCGACGCCGCGUGAGUGAAGAAGUAAUUCGUUAUGUAAAGCUCUAUCAGCAGGGAAGAAAAUGACGGUACCUGAGUAAGAAGCCCCGGCUAACUACGUGCCAGCAGCCGCGGUAAUACGUAGGGGGCAAGCGUUAUCCGGAUUUACUGGGUGUAAAGGGAGCGUAGACGGCAGUGCAAGUCUGGAGUGAAAGGCGGGGGCGCAACCCCCGGACUGUUCUGGAAACUGUACGGCGGGAGUGCAGGAGAGGUAAGUGGAAUUCCUAGUGUAGCGGUGAAAUGCGUCGAUAGUAGGAGGAACACCAGUGGCGAAGGCGGCUUACUGGACUGUAACUGACGUUGAGGCUCGAAAGCGUGGGGAGCAAACAGGAUUAGAUACCCCAGUAGUC
rnacentral:rRNA from 1 species